rnacentral:rRNA from 1 species
AACGAACGCUGGCGGCAUGCCUAACACAUGCAAGUCGAACGAGACCUUCGGGGCUAGUGGCGCACGGGUGCGUAACGCGUGGGAAUCUGCCCGUGGGUUCGGAAUAACAGUUGGAAACGACUGCUAAUACCGGAUGAUGACGUAAGUCCAAAGAUUUAUCGCCCAAGGAUGAGCCCGCGUAGGAUUAGCUAGUUGGUGAGGUAAAGGCUCACCAAGGCGACGAUCCUUAGCUGGUCUGAGAGGAUGAUCAGCCACACUGGGACUGAGACACGGCCCAGACUCCUGCGGGAGGCAGCAGUGGGGAAUAUUGGACAAUGGGCGAAAGCCUGAUCCAGCAAUGCCGCGUGAGUGAUGAAGGCCUUAGGGUUGUAAAGCUCUUUUAACCGGGAUGAUAAUGACAGUACCGGGAGAAUAAGCUCCGGCUAACUCCGUG